rnacentral:misc_RNA from 1 species
AUGAUAUCAAGGAGGGAAAAUUUUCCUAUCCUAUUCAAAGCAUUUUCUCACCUUCGAAGUAAGAACUGGGUGGUUAGAUCGGGGUCUCAGUAUGGGGUAGACUUUGUUGCCUAUCGUCAUCAUCCUGCCUUGGUACAUUCUCAAUAUGCUGUGCUCGUUUUAUCAGCACAAGAUGGUAAUGCAAAUGGUCGCUUGAAGGUUUGGUCUGACUUCCACUGCACUCUUCGCCUUUGUGGCAGUGUGGCUAAAACAUUACUAAUUCUCAACAUUGAAGAACAACAAAGUUGUGCUACUUCUCCGUCAUGCUUAGAUAAUUAUGUUGUUGAAGAGAGAACAAUCACAAGAUGGAG